rnacentral:lncRNA from 1 species
UGCUGUGCUGGUUGGUAGUAUCCUAAAUCCUUUGGCUAACAGAAGGCUGACUUGUCUGGAAAUGGAAUCCAGUAUCGUAAAGCACCAAAUUAUUUCAAAUGGUGCCCUUUAAUUCUCAGCAUUUUUUUUUAAUUCAAUAUUUUCCUGGUAAAGUAAAAUUAGCUGAUAAUACUGGAUAUAUAGCUAACCAAAUUGACUGUGAUUAUCCCCUCAGUUUAGAACUCUC